CUAACAAGGAUUCCCCUAGUAACUGCGAGUGAAGCGGGAAAAGCUCAAAUUUAAAAUCUGGCAGUCUUUGGCUGUCCGAGUUGUAAUCUAGAGAAGUAUUAUCCGCGCUGGACCGUGUACAAGUCUCCUGGAAUGGGGCGUCAUAGAGGGUGAGAAUCCCGUCUUUGACACGGACUGCCAGGGCUUUGUGAUGUGCUCUCAAAGAGUCGAGUUGUUUGGGAAUGCAGCUCAAAAUGGGUGGUAAAUUCCAUCUAAAGCUAAAUAUUGGCGAGAGACCGAUAGCGAACAAGUACCGUGAGGGAAAGAUGAAAAGAACUUUGGAAAGAGAGUUAAACAGUACGUGAAAUUGCUGAAAGGGAAACGCUUGAAGUCAGUCACGUUGGCCAGGGAUCAACCUUGCUUUUUUGCUUGGCUUACUUUCUGGUUGAUGGGUCAGCAUCAAUUUUGACUGGUGGAAAAAGUUCAAGGGAAUGUGGCAUCUUCGGAUGUGUUAUAGCCUUUGUUCGCAUACAUUGGUUGGGAUUGAGGAACUCAGCACGCCGCAAGGCCGGGUUUUUAACCACGUACGUGCUUAGGAUGCUGGCAUAAUGGCUUUAAUCGACCCGUCUUGAAACACGGACCAAGGAGUCUAACAUGCCUGCGAGUGUUUGGGUGAAAAACCCGAGCGCGUAAUGAAAGUGAAAGUUGAGAUCCCUGUCGUGGGGAGCAUUGACGCCCGGAUCUGACCUUUUGUGACGAUUCUGCGGUAGAGCAUGUAUGUUGGGACCCGAAAGAUGGUGAACUAUGCCUGAAUAGGGUGAAGCCAGAGGAAACUCUGGUGGAGGCUCGUAGCGAUUCUGACGUGCAAAUCGAUCGUCAAAUUUGGGUAUAGGGGCGAAA
rnacentral:rRNA from 1 species